rnacentral:tRNA from 1 species
UGGGGUGUGGCUCAGUGGUAGAGGGCUUGCCUGGCAUGUGUGAGGCACUGGGUUCAAUCCUCAGCACCAA